rnacentral:rRNA from 1 species
UGGGGAAUAUUGGACAAUGGGGGAAACCCUGAUCCAGCGAUGCCGCGUGGGUGAAGAAGGCCUUCGGGUUGUAAAGCCCUUUAGGUUGGGAAGAAGGGUGAGUGGUGAAUAGCCACGCAUUUUGACGGUACCGACAGAAUAAGCACCGGCAAACUCUGUGCCAGCAGCCGCGGUAAUACAGAGGGUGCGAGCGUUAAUCGGAGUUACUGGGCGUAAAGGGCGCGUAGGCGGUAAUGUAUGUGUGAUGUGAAAGCCCCGGGCUUAACCUGGGAAGAGCAUCGCAAACUGCAUAACUGGAGUAUAUGAGAGGGUGGCGGAAUUUCCGGUGUAGCGGUGAAAUGCGUAGAGAUCGGAAGGAACGUCAAUGGCGAAGGCAGCCACCUGGCAUAAUACUGACGCUGAGGCGCGAAAGCGUGGGUAGCGAACAGG